rnacentral:rRNA from 1 species
UACAGAGGUCUCGAGCGUUAGUCGGAGUCACUGGGCUUAAAGCGUACGUAGGCGGAUAUGCAGGCGUCGUGUGAAAUCCCUUGGCUCAACCAAGGAACUGCACGGCGAACCGCAUGUCUUGAGAUCGGUAGGGGCGGUCGGAACGAUAGGUGGAGUGGUGAAAUGCGUUGAUAUCAUCGGAACGCCGAAGGUGAAAGCAGGCCGCUGGGCCGAUUCUGACGCUGAGGUACGAAAGCGUGGGGAGCGAACGGG